rnacentral:rRNA from 1 species
GAUGAACGCUAGCGGGAGGCUUAAUACAUGCAAGUCGAACGGUAACGAUAGAGCUUGCUCUAGGCGACGAGUGGCGCACGGGUGAGUAACGCGUACACAACCUACCUUGUACAGAGGGAUAGCCCUGGGAAACUGGGAAUAAUACCUCAUAGUUUUUUCUGAUCGCAUGAUUAGAUUAAUAAAGUUCCGACGGUACGAGAUGGGUGUGCGUGCUAUUAGCUAGUUGGUGAGGUAACGGCUUACCAAGGCUACGAUAGCUAGGGGGCGUGAGAGCGUGAUCCCCCACACGGGUACUGAGACACGGACCCGACUCCUACGGGAGGCAGCAGUAAGGAAUAUUGGACAAUGGGCGCAAGCCUGAUCCAGCCAUCCCGCGUGCAGGAUGACGGCCCUAUGGGUUGUAAACUGCUUUUAUACAGGACGAAACACUGACAUUUAUGUUGGUCUGACGGUACUGUACGAAUAAGCACCGGCUAAUUCCG